AAAAAAAUAGUAGGCAGGGGUGAGCGCCAAACUCAAUGAGUAGGGUUAGAUAACCCUCUCACCCCACACAAUCACACAGAUGCUAAAAUAUUUUUAUCCGGUUACCGUUUAAUUAUAUGAUCAUGCACUUUGUCACACAAAUGGCAAUACAACAGCAAUCACAAGUAUCAUCACCUUCAUAUAAUCACAUCACGUGGAAAUUAGUCAGUGGCACCACCUGAAACCCCAACGAGCCGUCCUCACACAUGGCUCGCCCUCUCAUACAUGUGCACCAGGGAGCCGAUCCCCC
rnacentral:lncRNA from 1 species